rnacentral:tmRNA from 1 species
GGGCUUGUAAAGGUUUCGACGGGGGUUUUGAAGUUGUGGCAGCCAUCCGAAGGCACCGCGUAAGGUGCAAACCUAAAUAUAAACGCUGAAGAUAAUUUAGCAAUCGCUGCCUAAUGGCAGCUGUCUGACACAGAGCACCUGCACUUUGUGACCCAGGCAUCGACGAUGCAGGAAACGACAUAUGUUAAGCUUUGCGCAUAUGGGCGUAUGAUGAAGCUACCAGAGCCGUAAGCCUGCCGGUUGGCGUGCGGCCGAGGGAAUUCCAAAUAAGCGGCUGUGAUGGGAGAUACUGCAAUGGAUGGGCUUUCGGACGCGGGUUCGAUUCCCGCCAGGUCCAC